CCUACGGGGGGCUGCAGUGGGGAAUAUUGCACAAUGGGGGAAACCCUGAUGCAGCGACGCCGCGUGAGUGAAGAAGUAAUUCGUUAUGUAAAGCUCUAUCAGCAGGGAAGAAAAUGACGGUACCUGAGUAAGAAGCACCGGCUAACUACGUGCCAGCAGCCGCGGUAAUACGUAGGGGGCAAGCGUUAUCCGGAUUUACUGGGUGGAAAGGGAGCGUAGACGGCAGUGCAAGUCUGGAGUGAAAGGCGGGGGCUCAACCCCCGGACUGCUCUGGAAACUGUACGGCUGGAGUGCAGGAGAGGUAAGUGGAAUUCCUAGUGUAGCGGUGAAAUGCGUAGAUAUUAGGAGGAACACCAGUGGCGAAGGCGGCUUACUGGACUGUAACUGACGUUGAGGCUCGAAAGCGUGGGGAGCAAACAGGAUUAGAUACCCGUGUAGUC
rnacentral:rRNA from 1 species